AAUUUUGCGCAAUGGGCGAAAGCCAGAAAGAGCGACGCCGUGUGAGGGAAGAAGGCCUGCGGGUAGUAAACCUCGUUUCUCGGGGAAGGUAAUGACGGUACCUGGGGAAUAAGCCUCGGCUAACUCGUGCAAGCAGCCGCGGUAAUACGGAGGAGGCGAGCGUUGAAGGAUUCAUUGGGGUAAAGGGAGCGCAGGGGUGAGUUCGUCUGUGGGCAAUCUCCAGGCUCAACUGGGAGAGGUCUGGGGAGCUGCUCGGCUUGAGGACGGUAGAGGAGCACGGAAUUUCGGGGUAGUGGUGGAUGCGUAAGGUCAGGAGAACAGGGGUGGCGAAAGCGGGCUAUGGGCAAUCCUGACACUCAGGCUGAAAGCGGGGGAGAAAACCGGAUUAGAUACCCAGGUAUUCCACGGCCUG
rnacentral:rRNA from 1 species